UACAGGGGGUGCAAACGUUGCUCGGAAUCAUUGGGCGUAAAGCGCACGUAGGCGGUUCGUUAAGUCGGAUGUGAAAGCCCUCGGCUCAACUGAGGAAGUGCACCCGAAACUGGCGAGCUUGAGUACGAAAGAGGAUCGCGGAAUUCCCGGUGUAGAGGUGAAAUUCGUAGAUAUCGGGAGGAACACCGGUGGCGAAGGCGGCGAUCUGGGUCGAUACUGACGCUGAGGCACGAAAGCGUGGGGAGCAAACAGG
rnacentral:rRNA from 1 species